rnacentral:rRNA from 1 species
AACGGCCGUACCAUGCUGAAUAUACCGGUUCUCGUUAGAUCACCGAAGUUAAGCAUCAUUGGGCGUGGCCAGUACUUGGGUGGGUGACCACCUGGGAACACUGCGCGCCGU